CAGUCGCCGCGGUAAUACAGAGGGUGCGAGCGUUAAUCGGAUUUACUGGGCGUAAAGCGUGCGUAGGCGGCUUCUUAAGUCGAAUGUGAAAUCCCUGAGCUUAACUUAGGAAUUGCAUUCGAUACUGGGAAGCUAGAGUAUGGGAGAGGAUGGUAGAAUUCCAGGUGUAGCGGUGAAAUGCGUAGAGAUCUGGAGGAAUACCGAUGGCGAAGGCAGCCAUCUGGCCUAAUACUGACGCUGAGGUACGAAAGCAUGGGGAGCAAACAGGAUUAGAUACCCCAGUAGUCCCUGUCUCUUAUAC
rnacentral:rRNA from 1 species